rnacentral:rRNA from 1 species
UACGUAGGGUGCAAGCGUUAAUCGGAAUUACUGGGCGUAAAGCGUGCGCAGGCGGCUUUGCAAGACAGAUGUGAAAUCCCCGGGCUCAACCUGGGAACUGCAUUUGUGACUGCAUGGCUGGAGUGCGGCAGAGGGGGAUGGAAUUCCGCGUGUAGCAGUGAAAUGCGUAGAUAUCGGGAGGAACACCGGUGGCGAAGGCGGCUCACUGGGCCGGUCCUGACGCUCAGGCGCGAAAGCGUGGGGAGCGAUCCGG